UACAGAGGGCUCAAGCGUUGUUCGGAUUCAUUGGGCGUAAAGGGUGCGUAGGCGGCGCGGUAAGUCGGGUGUGAAAUUUCGAGGCUUAACUUCGAAACUGCAUUCGAUACUGCCGUGCUAGAGGACUGGAGAGGAGACUGGAAUUUACGGUGUAGCGGUGAAAUGCGUAGAUAUCGUAAGGAAGACCAGUGGCGAAGGCGGGUCUCUGGACAGUUCCUGACGCUGAGGCACGAAGGCCAGGGGAGCAAACGGG
rnacentral:rRNA from 1 species